GGAUGGAGGGGGGAUUUAAUCACUGCCAGAAAAAGUGCAGUAAACUUUCUUGGUGUUACUUCAAUGUCAAAGGGGCCACACCAAUGGAGACUUCCAUUGUCAGUUUAUCAGCCAAGCGGAAAAAAUGUCAAAAGAACAAAAGAAGCAAUCAGUGCCAUUCUAAGGGAGAGUUAUAGAUUUGUGUUAUUUGUAAGCAAAUCGAUGGUUCAUGCACACAAUGUGUCAAGUGUUCCACAUGUCUCCAUGCCAUGUGUGCGUGAAGGACUGAUUAUCGCAUAGAGAGUACAAUCAGGCAUGCAGCCGCUUGUGAAUAAUGCAGCUGCUGCUAAUGUGCCUUUGUCCCACUCCUGGAACGCCUCAACAAGUACAAUCAGGCAUGCAGCCGCUUGUGAAUAAUGCAGCGCCUGUGCAACCUUGGU